GUGGCAUUAGCUCAGUUGGUUAGAGCACCAGACUGUGACUCUGGGGGUCGCCGGUUCAAGUCCGGUAUGCCACCCCA
rnacentral:tRNA from 1 species